rnacentral:rRNA from 1 species
CCUACGGGAGGCAGCCGUGGGGAAUCUUGCGCAAUGGGGGAAACCCUGACGCAGCAACGCCGCGUGAGUGAUGAAGGCCUUCGGGUCGUAAAGCUCUGUCAAGUGGGAAGAACCUGCUCUGUGAUAACACCACGGGGCACCGACGGUACCACUGAAGGAAGCACCGGCUAACUCCGUGCCAGCAGCCGCGGUAAUACGGGGGGUGCUAGCGUUAUUCGGAAUCAUUGGGCGUAAAGGGCGCGUAGGCGGUCUUUUAAGUCAGAUGUGAAAGCCCUCGGCUUAACCGAGGAAGUGCAUUUGAUACUAAGAGACUUGAGUAUGGGAGAGGGAAGCGGAAUUCCUGGUGUAGCGGUGAAAUGCGUAGAUAUCAGGAGGAACACCGGUGGCGAAGGCGGCUUCCUGGACCAAUACUGACGCUGAGGCGCGAAGGCGUGGGGAGCAAACAGGAUUAGAUACCCUGGUAGUCCACGCAGUAAACGGUGAACACUAGGUGUAGCGGGUAUUGACCCCUGCUGUGCCGAAGCUAACGCAUUAAGUGCCCCGCCUGGGGAGUACGACCGCAAGGUUAAAACUCAAAGGAAUUGACGG